AUGAUUCAAAAAACUGGAGGCAGUACACUGGACUAUUUAAAGGAUAGAAGGUUAGGUGCUCUGCAUUCAGUGGGGUGUGAAAGAAAAUGCUCAGUUGGUGCAAGCAAAGGCCUUCCUCAAGGAUCAUUUUGUCUUUAUGGCAAGACGUGCCUAAACUGGAAAAUACUAAAGAACUUGAUAAUGGUUCAUGGAGAAGAUAUUUGAAUCCUACUGAGGAUAUUUAGUCAUGAGAUCAUCCAGGAUGCACUGAACAUCUUCCUGGCCCAAAAGCUGUUACCCAAAUUAGACCUGACUUCUUGGACAAGUGAUGUAUUUUGGAAUAAUUCAAGACGUGACACAUUCAGCCAAAAGGUGGGUGAAGCUUGUUGGAAAAUUGCAGAACUAGAAAGAGCCCAAGAGGUGGUUAAUAGGAAGACUGGGUCAAUCACUACAUACUAUGUGAAUUCAACCUGUGAUAGGUUGACUGAUGGCAUGACCCCUAUGCAGUCUAAAUUCCUCAUUGCUCCUAGAAUAAUAACUGCAUUUUGUUGUAUGGCCACCAUGUUCUGCGCUAUUCAAUCUGGCCUCUCCAUUCUCUCUG
rnacentral:lncRNA from 1 species